rnacentral:lncRNA from 1 species
GCCGGUCCCCAGGCUGGCUGUCAGGGCCUCCAGGAGCUGCCCCAGGUCCCUCAGGCACCUCCUCUCCCCGGCGCCGAGGCCCAGGCGACGGCUGAGGGGCCGGCACCGGCGGGGCACACGCGGGCGGCCAGGCCUGGCGGCCACGCUACCGGGCCAGCACACCCAGAGACGGCGGCGGCGGCAACCCUCCUCCCACCCCGUCUCCCCUCUCCGGCCUCACCAUGGCGGCAGCGGAGCCUUCCUGACCGACUUAUUCCCGGGCGAGGGGCGGCGCGGAGCCCAGCGAACAGCGGUGAGCCAGGAGGUAGCGGCGGUACCGGCGGCGGCGGCGGGGGCAGAGGAGGGCGCGGCGGCGGCGGGGCGCUUAUAUAGGGUAUGGCGGCACCGCCUCCAUCCGGGCGCUGCGGGACCUUUCACCCGGGCAGACCGGGCCCGGAAGCACCGGGGAGGAGAAACCGGGGCUCCUUGGGCGGCGGGAGGUGGUGGUGGCCCCGACGGCGAGUGGAGGGGAGGAAGGGGCCGAAAGCCGGUUUUUAGGGCAAAAGAGGGGUGAGGCCCGGCCGCCCCCCCCCCUUCUCUCCUUCCCUCCCCGGUCCGGGCGCCUCUCCCCUCCGCCCGCCCUUCCCGGCCGCCGCGGGCCCCGCUCCCCGCCGCGGCCUGCUGCGGGCCGGCCGGCGCUGGAGAAGCCGGGGGGGAAAGCCGGUCCCCAGGCUGGCUGUCAGGGCCUCCAGGAGCUGCCCCAGGUCCCUCAGGCACCUCCUCUCCCCGGCGCCGAGGCCCAGGCGACGGCUGAGGGGCCGGCACCGGCGGGGCACACGCGGGCGGCCAGGCCUGGCGGCCACGCUACCGGGCCAGCACACCCAGAGACGGCGGCGGCGGCAACCCUCCUCCCACCCCGUCUCCCCUCUCCGGCCUCACCAUGGCGGCAGCGGAGCCUUCCUGACCGACUUAUUCCCGGGCGAGGGGCGGCGCGGAGCCCAGCGAACAGCGAUCUCUCCAAUCCAGAUUUGUCCACUUGAGGCAGCACCGCUCAGCACUGGUUGUCCUGAUUUGUGGUACUUGGGACAGAACAGCCAGUUGAGGAAGACCACGAUCCUUCAUAGCACUUGUUGGGAGGUGGCAUGUGCUCAAAUAAUAUCCACAGGCGUCUCUGAACGUAGCAAACCGUUUUAACAACGGAACUGGCAAUGCCCCCCGGGAUGCAGGCUGGUUUGCUGCGCUUGACUCGCUGGCUUCUGGAUGGACACCUUGUCCUGGGAGCGUUUGGGAACCGUAGGAACUCCCACAACACUGUCCUAAUAAAGAUUUCGGAGCUCUCUCCUCUCCUUGUGUC